CACAGCCGGCACGUUUCUCACUCCUUGCAAACAACCUGUUGGAUAUCUCUCAUAGUAUAAGAUGGCGACCUCCAAAUCUAAUUCUCGGAGGAUAGUGAUUGCAAUGGACGGAAGUGAAUAUUCGGAUUAUGCUUUUGAUUAUUAUGUAGAGAAUUUACACCGAACCACAGAUGAAGUAGUAUUUAUUUACUGUGCAGAUAUAACUAUAGCUAUUCACUCACCUUUAAGGCACGAUGCUAAUCACCUAGAAAAAGUUAUAACAGAACAGCAGAAACACAUGGAUGAAAUAACAGAUGAAUUAAAUACAAAAAUACAGAAAUCUGGAGUAAAUGGUAGAAUAACCCGUCUGAUGAAUAAAGAUAUUGGACAUGCUAUAGUCAGUCAAGCUGAGAAUGAACAAGCCACAUUAAUUGUGACCGGAACACGUGGUAGGGGUCGUCUCAGAAGAACGUUUCUAGGUAGCGUCAGUGAAUAUAUUGUGAACCAUUCAUCU